UCAGGGCGAACAGAAGAUUCCAGCUGUGGCCAAUGUCACUGGAUACUACUGCAUAGGACUUUCACUGAGUGUUACUCUAAUGUGUGCAGCCAAACUGAGAGUAGCUGAGUAAUUGCAUGAAGGGACAUUCUCUGUCUUUGUUUUGGUUUUUGCUUGAAUGUGAAGCCAGCUGUGGCACUGACAGACUGAGGUACCCUUGAUUCUCUUCAGAAUCAGUAACUGAGCUUUCAAAAUUGACUUGUUGCAUGCAGGAAUUAGAGAAAUUGAAAGUUGGUUGUAUUUGCUUGACUGCAGGCUGUGGACAAGCACAGAAAAACACGAACAGGCCAUUAUUAAGCUGAGAUGCUGCCUGCCAGACCCAAAGUAACCUAACAUUAGCAUCAAUUCAUCAAAAUGUCAGUGGAAGGCUACAUGUCUGCAAACACUGAGAUCCAUGAUGGGAACCUGGGGACGCAGGGUGGACAUGGGGUCCAGCAGCUGAAGGGUGGACGUCUCUCCAUCACACAGCUCCUCUUCAGGCGAGGCCUUACUAUGUUUGCAGCAGUUACUCUUCAAGCCGAGGGAGCAAGUGUGCACUUCCUCGUGCCCCAGCCAGAGACUCAGCCUUCAGGGGCCAACUUUACUUCGGACUGGAUCAAUACUAUAUAUUCUCCUGAACACAUUUUCUCCACUUCCACUGUGCUGGUCCUAAAUGAAGAGACAGAUUGACCUUGAAGGUCCCAGAUCACCACAAUGUUUCUGUUUAAUGUAUUGAAUAUAAACUCUCUUGGGUUUGACAGAAUGUGGUUGAGAGCAAAUCUCUGGCAGAUUCACACAGAACACUGUCGGAUAAAGAGAUACUUCACUGAAUACAAUAGAAUUUUUUUCAUAUUCAUGUGACAAAGUUUGUGAUCAACAGGUUUAUAAUAAUUCCAACAGCCAGGACAAAUAGCAUGACAGCCAGAGCCAGGCUCCUACGCAGCACCAGUUCCCUGCAAGAGAGCUGCUUCUCCACUGGAUUUUCUUCUGACCCACACUCAGUUUCUGCCAGGUCAAGGGUUUCUGUUUGGCCGAGUGAGUUCCCUUCAUCAUCUGGUUGGAUACCUGGACAUUCAAAUGCAAAUGCAACUAAUGAUUUCACUGGAAAAUAUUAAAUUGUUACCUUCAAAUUAAAAGUUAUUCACAUGUUGUGAAGGUGAACUUUCAGUUUGAUGCAUUAAUAAAGAGCUGAAGUGAGACCGUGACUUGGGUUCUGUUUGAGAAGUGAGAAAGUCCCACUGACACAGAGUUACAGAAGUUUUGCUCUUAUUCUGAAAAAUAAGGAAGAGCUUCAGAGUGUUACUGACCUUUACACACACUUUCAUCAC
rnacentral:lncRNA from 1 species